rnacentral:misc_RNA from 1 species
GUAGGUGAACCUGCGGAAGGAUCAUUAACACGUAUCCAAACGUAAAACCCCCCGUGAAUGUUAAACGCUGCUCUCCAUGCGCCUGGGGAUAUUUCAUUGUGAGGAGGCUGGACACACUGGCGGCCGGUUCUCGGCUUCAGUGCGGGCCCACCCGAUGGAUGCGGCUCCCCCGCGAAAUGUGAUUACCUAAACGAGCGGUUCGCAAGGAUAGGCUUGGUUGCCCCUGUUCCUUUGUCUAUCAGCGGCAAGG